UGCCAGCCGCCGCGGUAAUACGGAGGGAGCUAGCGUUGUUCGGAAUUACUGGGCGUAAAGAGCACGUAGGCGGACUUUUAAGUCUGGGGUGAAAUCCCGGGGCUCAACCCCGGAACUGCCUCUAAUACUGCUAGUCUUGAGUUCGAGAGAGGUGAGUGGAAUUCCGAGUGUAGAGGUGAAAUUCGUAGAUAUUCGGAGGAACACCAGUGGCGAAAACGGCUCACUGGCUCGAUACUGACGCUGAGGUGCGAAAGCGUGGGGAGCAAACAGGAUUAGAUA
rnacentral:rRNA from 1 species